rnacentral:rRNA from 1 species
GGGUUGUGAGGUUAAGCGACUAAGCGUACACGGUGGAUGCCCUGGCAGUCAGAGGCGAUGAAGGACGUGCUAAUCUGCGAUAAGCGCCGGUAAGGUGAUAUGAACCGUUAUAACCGGCGGUUUCCGAAUGGGGAAACCCAGUGUGACUCGUCACACUAUCAUUAACUGAAUCCAUAGGUUAAUGAGGCGAACCGGGGGAACUGAAACAUCUAAGUACCCCGAGGAAAAGAAAUCAACCGAGAUUCCCCCAGUAGCGGCGAGCGAACGGGGAGGAGCCCAGAGCCUGAAUCAGCAUGUGUGUUAGUGGAAGCGUCUGGAAAGGCGCGCGAUACAGGGUGACAGCCCCGUACACAAAAGCGCAUGUGCUGUGAGCUCGAUGAGUAGGGCGGGACACGUGGUAUCCUGUCUGAAUAUGGGGGGACCAUCCUCCAAGGCUAAAUACUCCUGACUGACCGAUAGUGAACCAGUACCGUGAGGGAAAGGCGAAAAGAACCCCGGCGAGGGGAGUGAAAAAGAACCUGAAACCGUGUACGUACAAGCAGUGGGAGCACAGGUUUACCUGUGUGACUGCGUACCUUUUGUAUAAUGGGUCAGC